rnacentral:lncRNA from 1 species
CACAGAUCCCACGUGUUUCUCUCCCUUGCUCAAGACUGUCUGGCGGCCUUCUCCUUGCUCUCGGAGUGAGGUCUAAACCCCUCAGCACGGACACCAGGCCCCACGGGGUCUGCAGCUGCCCCUCACUUCCUCUGGGUCAUCUCCCCUCAAGCUCACUGCUCCCAGCACCGCCCCUGCACACUGCGGCUCCUCCUGCCUCCCUGUCUGUACCCACCGUGUGGAGGACCCCUCAUCAGCCUUCAGACUUCAGCUGAAGCGGCACCUCCUCCCAGAGGAUCUCCCUGUUUAUCUCAUUUAAAGAUGGCCCGCUGCGUGUGCGCUUUUGAAAAUUGCACCAUAAUUCGCUUACUAUAAAAUGGGCCCUCUUAAAAGGAUACACUUCAGUGGCUUUUAGUAUAUUCACAAGGUUGAACAACCAUGACCACUUUCCAAUUUCAGAAUGUUCUCAUCACCCCAAAAGGAAACCCUAUCCCCGUAAGCAGUCUCUCCCUGUUCCUCCCUCUUCCCAGGCCCUGGCAACUGUAAAGCUGCUUUUUCUCUCUCAGGACCUGCCUCUUCUGGACAUUUCGUAUAAAUGGAAUCGUGUAAUAUGUGGCCUUUCGAGCUGGGCUUCCUUCACUCAACGUCAUGUUUCCAAGAUCCAUCCCCAUUGAAGCUGGUGUCGGAGCCUCACUGCUUUCUGCGGGUGGGCUGGACCUGGUGACUUGCUUCUACCUGAUAGAAUACAGCAAGAGUGAUGAGAUGUCACUUCCGAGAUUAGGUUGGACGGAUGGUGACUUCCAGCUUGUUAGUCUUCUCUCGGGCUCUUCUUGUUUGCUUGCUCUGGUGAAGCCAGCCACCAUAUGGUGAGUUGCCCUGUGGAGAGGCCCAUAUGGCAGGGAGCUGAGGGAGGCCUUUGGGUAACAGCCUCUGAGAAACUGAGGCCCUCAGUUCAGUAGCUAGUGAAGAGCUCAAUCCAGCCCACAGCCACUGAGCAAGCUUGGAAGAGGACCCUUCCCUGGGGCAGCUUUGUGCUAUUGUAAUAUAAUAAAGAGUGUAUAUCUGGUUUUCAUCUAGGGUUCCUGGCAUAGAGUUUCUAAAACCACUGGAAUUUCCUAAGUAAAAGGGGUGAGAGAAGUGUCUUUUGUUACUCAUAAUAAGCCCCCUUCAACCAUACUUGAGUUUAUUCUAAUGAGGUGACUCAUGGAGGUUGGGGGCUGGUAGCCAGAGGAACCAACCACGUGAUUGAGGGUUGCAACUUUCAGCCUCACCCCCAACCUCCAGGGAGGAGAGAGGGGCCAGAGAUUGAGUUCAAUCACCCAUGGCCAAUGAUUCAGCCAAGCAUGACUAUGUGAUGGAACCUCCAUAAAAACAUUGGGUCUCAUGAGAACAACAGAAUACAGAGAGCUGGUUUGGUGGACAUAUGGAGGCUCUGGGAGGGUGGUGGGCCCAGAGAGGGCAUGGAGCCCCUCUCCCAUACCUCGAUUAUACAUCUCUUCGAUUUGGCUUUUCCUGAGUUGUAUCCAUUAUAAUAAACUGGUAAUGGUAUGUAGAUUGUUUUCCUGAGUUCUAUGAGCCAUUCUAGCAAAUUAUUUAACUUGAGGAGGAGAUUGUGGGAACCUUCAAUGUAUAGCUGGUCUGUCAUUAGUGCAGGAGGCCCUGGACUUUCAACUGACAUCUGAAGUGGAGGCAGUCUUGUGGGAUCCCUUAACAUGUGGGAUCUGCAUUAACUCCAGGAAGAUAGUGUCAGAAUUAAAUGGAAUUGUAGAACACUCACUUGGCGUCCAG